UGCAUUCACUACUGUAAGUCGCUCUGGAUAAGAGCGUCUGCUAAAUGACUCAAG
rfam:Salmo salar isolate Sally breed double haploid chromosome ssa08, whole genome shotgun sequence.